rnacentral:miRNA from 1 species
AGCGAGGUAUGAAGUUCUUACU